rnacentral:rRNA from 1 species
UACGUAGGGAGCAAGCGUUGUUCGGAUUUACUGGGCGUAAAGGGCGCGUAGGCGGCGCGGUAAGUCACUUGUGAAAUCUCUGAGCUUAACUCAGAACGGCCAAGUGAUACUGCAGUGCUAGAGUGCAGAAGGGGCAAUCGGAAUUCUUGGUGUAGCGGUGAAAUGCGCAGAUAUCAGGAGGAACACCAAUUGCGAAGGCAGCUCGCUGGGACGUUACUGACGCUGAGACGCGAAAGCGUGGGGAGCAAACAGG